GGGGAGGGUCAUUGGAAACUGGGGAACUUGAGUGCAGAAGAGGAGAGUGGAAUUCCACGUGUAGCGGUGAAAUGCAUAGAGAUGUGGAGGAACACCAGUGGCGAAGGCGACUCUCUGGUCUGUAACUGACGCUGAGGCGCGAAAGCGUGGGGAGCGAACAGGAUUAGAUACCCUGGUAGUCCACGCCGUAAACGAUGAGUGCUAAGUGUUAGAGGGUUUCCGCCCUUUAGUGCUGCAGCAAACGCAUUAAGCACUCCGCCUGGGGAGUACGGUCGCAAGACUGAAACUCAAAGGAAUUGACGGGGGCCCGCACAAGCGGUGGAGCAUGUGGUUUAAUUCGAAGCAACGCGAAGAACCUUACCAGGUCUUGACAUCCUCUGACAACCCUA
rnacentral:rRNA from 1 species